CCUACGGGCGGCAGCAGUGAGGAAUAUUGGUCAAUGGGCGGGAGCCUGCACCAGCCAAGUCGCGUGAGGGAAGACGGUCCUAUGGAUUGUAAACCUCUUUAGGCGGGGAGCAAUGCCGGGCACGUGUGCCCGGAGGGAGAGUACCCGCAGAAUAAGCAUCGGCUAACUCCGUGCCAGCAGCCGCGGUAAUACGGAGGAUGCGAGCGUUGUCCGGAUUUAUUGGGUUUAAAGGGUGAGUAGGCGGAUUUUUAAGUCGGCGGGAAAAUGUCGGGGUUAAAACCGGGGCGGCCGGUAAAACUGGGGAUCUUGAGUGGGCGAGAAGUAUGCGGAAUGCGUGGUGUAGCGGUGAAAUGCAUAGAUAUCACGCAGAACUCCGAUUGCGAAGGCAGCAUACCGGCGCCCGACUGACGCUGAGGCACGAAAGCGUGGGGAUCGAACAGGAUUAGAUACCCCUGUAGUC
rnacentral:rRNA from 1 species